AUGGCCCGUUGCAGGCACCGCAUCAAGAUCACCGCCAAUGGCAAGUCUGUGUAUGCCAAAGUGGUGGACGAGUGCGACUCCGUCUAUGGCUGUGACGAGGACCACAACUACGAGCCCCCGUGUGCCAACAACAUCGUCGACGCCUCUCCUGCGGUGUGGAAUGCCUUGGGGCUCGACCAGAACGUCGGCAUGGAGGGCAUCACCUGGUCCGAUGAGUGA
rnacentral:rRNA from 1 species